AAANUCAAAGGAAUNGACGGGGACCCGCACAAGCGGUGGANGAUGUGGAUUAAUUCGAUGCAACGCGAAGANCCUUACNUGGUCUUGACAUGUACGGAACCCUCCAGAGACGGAGGGGUGCNUUCGGGAGCCGUAACACAGGUGCUGCAUGGCUGUCGUCAGCUCGUGUCGUGAGAUGUUGGGUUAAGUCCCGCAACGAGCGCAACCCUUGUCAUUAGUUGCCAUCAUUAAGUUGGGCACUCUAAUGAGACNGCCGGUGACAAGCCGGAGGAAGGUGGGGAUGACGUCAAGUCCUCAUGGCCCUUAUGACCAGGGCUUCACACGUCAUACAAUGGUCGGUACAGAGGGUAGCCAAGCCGCGAGGUGGAGCCAAUCUCACAAAACCGAUCGUAGUCCGGAUUGCACUCUGCAACUCGAGUGCAUGAAGUCGGAAUCGCUAGUAAUCGCAGGUCAGCAUACUGCGGUGAAUACGUUCCCGGGUCUUGUACACACCGCCCGUCACACCAUGGGAGUGGGGGAUACCAGAAGUAGGU
rnacentral:rRNA from 1 species